AACGAACGCUGGCGGCAGGCUUAACACAUGCAAGUCGAACGCCCCGCAAUGGGAGUGGCAGACGGGUGAGUAACGCGUGGGAAUCUACCCAACUCUACGGAAUACCCCAGGGAAACUUGUGCUAAUACCGUAUACGCCCUUCGGCGGAAAGCUUUAUCGGAGUUGGAUGAGCCCGCGUUGGAUUAGCGAGUUGGUGGGGUAAGGGCCUACCAAGGCGACGAUCCAUAGCUGGUCUGAGAGGAUGAUCAGCCACAUUGGGACUGAGACACGGCCCAAACUCCUACGGGAGGCAGCAGUGGGGAAUAUUGGACAAUGGGCGCAAGCCUGAUCCAGCCAUGCCGCGUGAGUGAUGAAGGCCCUAGGGUUGUAAAGCUCUUUCACCGGUGAAGAUAAUGACGGUAACCGGAGAAGAAGCCCCGGCUAACUUCGUGCCAGCCGCCGCCGUAA
rnacentral:rRNA from 1 species